CUGCAGCCAAUUAAGCUGACCAGCCCUCUCUCCCUGUGGGGUUCCAGUGUGCAGUGACUGCAGACAGCAGCUUCUUUGGUAGUGUACGUGGCCUGUUGCCUGUACGGGUUGCCGUAAGGGACCUUGGAGACAGCC
rnacentral:snoRNA from 1 species